GGCGGAUGUAGCCAAGUGGAUCAAGGCAGUGGAUUUGAAUCACC
rnacentral:tRNA from 1 species